rnacentral:rRNA from 1 species
UAAGCAUAUCAAUAAGCGGAGGAAAAGAAACCAACCGGGAUUGCCUCAGUAACGGCGAGUGAAGCGGCAAGAGCUCAAAUUUGAAAGCUGGCCCCUUCGGGGUCCGCGUUGUAAUUUGCAGAGGAUGCUUCGGGUGCGGCCCCUGUCUAAGUGCCCUGGAACGGGCCGUCAGAGAGGGUGAGAAUCCCGUCUUGGGCAGGGUGCCCGUGCCCGUGUGAAGCUCCUUCGACGAGUCGAGUUGUUUGGGAAUGCAGCUCUAAAUGGGUGGUAAAUUUCAUCUAAAGCUAAAUACCGGCCGGAGACCGAUAGCGCACAAGUAGAGUGAUCGAAAGAUGAAAAGCACUUUGAAAAGAGAGUUAAACAGCACGUGAAAUUGUUGAAAGGGAAGCGCUUGCGACCAGACUCGGCCCCGGGGUUCAGCCAGCACUCGUGCUGGUGUACUUCCCCGGGGGCGGGCCAGCGUCGGUUUGGGCGGCCGGUCAAAGGCCCCAGGAAUGUAUCGCCCUCCGGGGUUGUCUUAUAGCCUGGGGUGCAAUGCGGCCAGCCCGGACCGAGGAACGCGCUUCGGCACGGACGCUGGCGUAAUGGUCGCAAACGACCCGUCUUGAAACACGGACCAAGGAGUCUAACAUCUACGCGAGUGUUCGGGUGUCAAACCCGUACGCGCAGUGAAAGCGAACGGAGGUGGGAGCCCCCCCGGGGCGCACCAUCGACCGAUCCUGAUGUCUUCGGAUGGAUUUGAGUAAGAGCGUAGCUGUGGGGACCCGAAAGAUGGUGAACUAUGCCUGAAUAGGGCGAAGCCAGAGGAAACUCUGGUGGAGGCUCGCAGCGGUUCUGACGUGCAAAUCGAUCGUCAAAUUUGGGUAUAGGGGCGAAAGACUAAUCGAACCAUCUGAUAGCUGGUUCCUGCCGAAGUU